UAUUUUAAAAUAAAACAGAACGUAACCAGCUCAUUUGGCCCCACAAACUGACUCAGGGCUGCAGGGUUCCUCAUGGGCCAGACUGGGACCCACCUCCAGCCAUGGGG